rnacentral:tRNA from 1 species
GGGGCUGUAGCGCAGUUGGUUAACGCGUCUCCCUGUCACGGAGAAGAUCAGGGGUCCGAAUCCCCUCAGCCUCG